AGGGGAUUAGUUUAAUGGUAGAACAGCGGUCUCCAAAACCGUCAGUGCGGGUUCAACUCCUGCAUCCCCUGCCA
rnacentral:tRNA from 1 species